GAGAUAUACCGCACUGGUAGGGUAUGGAUCCGAAACCUCUCGAAGGAUAAUAAAGGCUCUCUACACUCAACUCCUACCUAAUACUUCCCCGGCGUACACAGCGGUAACUGCAGUGUUCAGGGGA
rnacentral:ribozyme from 1 species